AUGACUUUGAUCUGCGUCCUCAUCUGGACUCUGCUCUGCUGCUGCUUCACAGAGUCCAGAGGUCAGGUCACAGUGACUCAGCCUGCAGCAGUGAGAGCUGAUCUGAGAGGAUCUGUUGCCAUCAGCUGUAGGACCAAUCAGAAUGUUCAUAACUCUGCACAUAUAGCCUGGUAUCAACAAAAAGAUGGAGAAACUCCUAAGCUGCUCUUUUACUGGGUUGGCAACCGAGUCUCGGGAACUCCAAAUCGCUUUAAAGAUGCUGGAUCAAACACUGCCUUCACUCUGACAAUCAGUGGAGUUCAGGCUGAAGAUGCUGCAGUUUAUCACUGUCAGAGUCUUCAUCACAUCAACAGUCAGUGGAUCUACACGUUUGGUGGAGGAACUAGACUGGAGGUUGGAAAUGAUAACCGUCCAGUCCUGACAGUGCUGCCCCCCUCCAGCGAGGAUCUGCACCAGGGGAAGGCCAUCUUCAUGUGUCUGGCCAACAAGGGCUUCCCCUCAGACUGGAGUCUGUCCUGGAAGGUGGACGGCAGCAGCAGCAGCAGCAGCUGGGAGGAGAACAAGAGCAGAGGAGUUCUGCAGAAGGACGGCCUCUACAGCUGGAGCAGCACCCUGAGGCUCCCUGCAGACCAGUGGAGGAAGGUGGGCUCUGUGACCUGCGAGGCAUCCCAGGGCUCCCAGUGUCCAGUAACAGAGACACUGAGGAGAGACCAGUGUUUCUGA